rnacentral:rRNA from 1 species
CAGUCGCCGCGGGAACACGGAGGGAGCUAGCGUUGUUCGGAAUUACUGGGCGUAAAGCGCACGUAGGCGGUUAUUCAAGUCAGCGGUGAAAGCCCGGGGCUCAACCCCGGAACUGCCUUUGAAACUAGAUGACUGGAAUCUUGGAGAGGUCAGUGGAAUUCCGAGUGUAGAGGUGAAAUUCGUAGAUAUUCGCAAGAACACCAGUGGCGAAGGCGGCUUACUGGUCCGGAUCUGACGCUGAGGCGCGAAAGCGUGGGGAGCAAACAGGAUUAGAUACCCCUGUAGUCCCUGUCUCUUAUAC